rnacentral:tRNA from 1 species
UCCCUGGUGGCUCAGAUGGUAAAGCGUCUGCCUGCAAUGCGGGAGACCCAGGUUCAAUCCCUGGGUGGGGAA